GUCUGGAAUAAGUUGGUUGUAAGGAUCGCUGUUUCAACGGAAUGGAUAGCCCCCUCCCCCAAUGACCAACCCAUAGAAGUUACAGCCGGACAUACAUUCAAAAGGAAACGAGGUCAUCCCCGUGGAUCACGUACAAAAUCAAAAGUUCAUCUGAUCAAUGAUCGACCAACAUUCAAGCAAAAAUAUUACGACUGUGGCUGUGAUGAUUGUGACUCAUAUGGGCUCAUCCCGGCUGCACGUGCCAAUCAGUAACGUGAAUCUUUACGAACCGGUGCGAUCGUCAGUGUUAAUCGGUCGACGAAUAUACAAGAUUACGCCCCAUCUUUUUGUCAUCCGUUUCAUCCCCACAACCACUAUUGAUGAGGUCUGACCAUUGCUCUUGUCAUUAACCUUUAGAAGUUCAUGCUCCAGAAAUCCGG